rnacentral:rRNA from 1 species
GAUGGGGAGCGAAAUUUAGUAGCGAAGUAGCUGAUUUCACACUGUCAAGAAAAGUCUCUAUCGAGGUUAAAGGUACCCGUACCGCAAACCGACACAGGUGGGUGAGGAGAGUAUCCUAAGGCCAGCGAGAGAACUGUUGUUAAGGAACUCGGCAAAAUGACCCCGUAACUUAGGGAUAAGGGGUGCCACCAUCAGGUGGCCGCAGAGAAUAGGCCCAAGCGACUGUUUACCAAAAACAUAGGUUUCUGCUAAGUCGCAAGACGAUGUAUAGGAGCUGACGCCUGCCCGGUGCUGGAAGGUUAAGGGGAUCUGUUAGGC